rnacentral:lncRNA from 1 species
AUCACGGUGAAACAUCAUCAGGGGGUCCGCAUGAUCAUGGCCAAUUUUCUGAGACGGGCAGUACAUCCAACGAUCCAACAACGGCAUUCAUCAACGACAUGUUUCCUUAUGAGAGCGGUGUAUGCGCUCAAGGACAGUAUAUGCCUGACCCGGUGCAGCCCUUCCCUAGAGCUGUUAACACUGCUGGUAUUGAAAAGUACAACAAACUGCUUGCUUUCCAACAGACCCCUGUGUACCCCGGUUGUCAGAAGACCGUUCUUGAAAGUGUGAUGGACGUAAUGAAGAUUAAAGUUGAGACAAAAUCGACCGUGAAGGCUGUUGAUGAUUAUCUACAGUACACUGCUUCGAUGCUGCCCCACGGUCAUCGUCUUCCUACCACUCAUCGUAAGGUCCGAUGUACCGGGCGGCUACACUUGGAGAGGCCGAAGACGAGGAAGAGGAUGUUGCGUAUCAAGAGCCCAACGCAAUAGGUAUUCCUAACUCCUCUACCGUUCGCCUUAAUAAUUUUAAAGCGGGUCGUUCGGUGCGAAUUCGUGAUGAAGAGCCAAGGCUUAUUGAUGUUGAUCCAAAUCACGAAACAGACGAAGACUCUGGCGAUGAGGAAAGACAUAUAUUACCAGAAAUUAAUUCUGACACCGAAGAAGACUCAUCGGAUGAUUCCGAUUACGAGCCUUAGUUUUAAUUUAGAGGACGAAAUCCAUUAAUUUGCAUUGUAUAACUAAUUAAAGACCUUUUCCUUUAUAGUUUACACAUGUUGAAUUCAUAUUUCAGUUAUUUUAUAUGAAUUUUGGUGAUACAUGAUGAACAGGAAAUUUAAGUAUGGUUUACUAAUAUCGUCUGUUUUUUUAAUUGUAUUUUUUCAUUUAGCCGACGAAAUACACCAUAUUUCGUCGGCUAAACCCAUAUUAGCCGACGAAAUAUACUAUAUUUCGUCGGCUAAAGUUAUUUUUAAUUUUUAAUUUUUUAAUUUUUAAUUACAUACUAUAGCCGACGAAUCACACUAUAAUUCGUCGGCUAAAAUACUUUAGCCGACGAAUAACCUAAUAUUUCGUCGGCUAUAGUUAUUUUUACUUUUUAAUUUUUUAAUUUUUAAUUACAUACUAUAGCCGACGAAAGACACUAUAAUUCGUCGGCUAAAAUACUUUAGCCGACGAAUAACCUAAUAUUUCGUCGGCUAUAGUUAUUUUUAAUUUUUAAUUACAUACUAUAGCCGACGAAUACGUUAGGGUAGUUCGUCGGCUAAACCCUAAAAUUUUUCUAUUACCUACUAUAGUCCUAUAUUCAGUGGUUAUUUUGCGUAAAAAUUUUUAUACGACUUGUUGCGUGU